CCUACGGGAGGCAGCAGUGGGGAAUAUUGCACAAUGGGGGAAACCCUGAUGCAGCAACGCCGCGUGAGUGAAGAAGUAUUUCGGUAUGUAAAGCUCUAUCUGCAGGGAAGAAAAUGACAGUACCUGACUAAGAAUCACCGGCUAACUACGUGCCAGCAGACGCCGUAAUACGGAGGGGGCAAGCGUUAUCCGGAUGUACUGGGUGUAAAGGGAGCGUAGACGGCUGCGCAAGUCAGAUGUGAAAUCCCGUGGCUCAACCGCGAGACUGCUUGUGAAACUGUGUAGCUAGAGUGCAGGAGAGGUAAGUGGAAUGCCUAGUGUAGCGGUGAAAUGCAUAGAUAUCAGGCAGAACACCGGUGGCGAAGGCGGCUUACUGGACUGUAACUGACGUUGAGGCUCGAAAGCGUGGGGAGCAAACAGGAUUAGAUACCCCUGUAGUC
rnacentral:rRNA from 1 species